ACACGUGGAUAACCUACCUAUAAGACUGGGAUAACUUCGGGAAACCGUAGCUAAUACCGGAUAAUAUUUUGAACCGCAUGGUUCAAAAGUGAAAGACGGUCUUGCUGUCACUUAUAGAUGGAUCCGCGCUGCAUUAGCUAGUUGGUAAGGUAACGGCUUACCAAGGCAACGAUGCAUAGCCGACCUGAGAGGGUGAUCGGCCACACUGGAACUGAGACACGGUCCAGACUCCUACGGGAGGCAGCAGUAGGGAAUCUUCCGCAAUGGGCGAAAGCCUGACGGAGCAACGCCGCGUGAGUGAUGAAGGUCUUCGGAUCGUAAAACUCUGUUAUUAGGGAAGAACAUAUGUGUAAGUAACUGUGCACAUCUUGACGGUACCUAAUCAGAAAGCCACGGCUAACUACGUGCCAGCAGCCGCGGUAAUACGUAGGUGGCAAGCGUUAUCCGGAAUUAUUGGGCGUAAAGCGCGCGUAGGCGGUUUUUUAAGUCUGAUGUGAAAGCCCACGGCUCAACCGUGGAGGGUCAUUGGAAACUGGAAAACUUGAGUGCAAAAGAGGAAAGUGGAAUUCCAUGUGUAGCGGUGAAAUGCGCAGAGAUAUGGAGGAACACCAGUGGCGAAGGCGACUUUCUGGUCUGUAACUGACGCUGAUGUGCGAAAGCGUGGGGAUCAAACAGGAUUAGAUACCCUGGUAGUCCACGCCGUAAACGAUGAGUGCUAAGUGUUAGGGGGUUUCCGCCCCUUAGUGCUGCAGCUAACGCAUUAAGCACUCCGCCUGGGGAGUACGACCGCA
rnacentral:rRNA from 1 species